CACGUAGGGUGCAAGCGUUGUCCGGAAUCAUUGGGCGUAAAGAGCUCGUAGGCGGUCUGUCACGUCGGCUGUGAAAUCCCGAGGCUCAACCUCGGGUCUGCAGUCGAUACGGGCAAACUAGAGUAUUGCAGGGGAGACUGGAAUUCCUGGUGUAGCGGUGAAAUGCGCAGAUAUCAGGAGGAACACCGGUGGCGAAGGCGGGUCUCUGGGCAAUAACUGACGCUGAGGAGCGAAAGCGUGGGGAGCGAACAGG
rnacentral:rRNA from 1 species